rnacentral:lncRNA from 1 species
AAUUUUCAAUAGCUUUUACCCAGUUUCAAAUCAGUUUUUAUACGCAACCCUUAUGCCUUUCCUUAUUAACAAGUAUAAAUUUUUUGCAUCAACCAUGCAUAUCUAAUUAUAAUUAUAAUAAAAAAAUGAAGGAGACUUGACAUAUGGUUUUGAAGUAAAGCUGUGACUGCCUAUGGCCGAGUGAAACAUUGUGCUUAAUAUCAUUCUACCUCAUCCCAAAUAAGCUUCAUAACUUUCUCUCCUUCAAACAUACUCAUUCAUUUUCAUGAUCUCUCAAUCUCUCAACAUAAACAUCAUUCCUACACCAUCCCAUAAAUCCACACACCCUUGUUUAUUUCUUUUAUCAUCUAACAUAACAAAACAACACAACAAAAAAAGAAAACAAUUUCACUUCACCAUUCCCAUCUUCUUUUAAUACCUUCGAGUAACUCCGGCGGGAAUCACCACCACUACCGAGGCUACAUAACUAGGGAGCUCGGCCACUGGAACAUAAGAACCGCUGCCUCUGGACAUUCACGACAGCAAGACCGACGCUGGCGGCUUACCAAAUUUAACGUCACUGAUGAGAACAAGAAGGAGGAGAAAACGUGGAACCAAGAAAGGACUCGGUUGUGACCGGAAGAGGAGACUCUUCUUCCUUUGCCGCCGCUUCCAGACUCCGUCCAGACGUGGCUGACCCUCUCUUGGGUCGGGCCGUCCCGAAUCCACAACUUCAGAGUCACGACCGUGGAUGGUACGGCUCCUUCCGUCACUCAUCUCGCCUCGACACGUCGUCACCAUGAAUAGCCAUCGAUGUUCUCCUCCCCUAGCCUUGAUCGACUGCCGCCGCUGGAAGAACAAAAGGGAGUAGCUAAUUUAGGGAUUUCAAACCUCUCUUCCCUUUUCUUUAUUGUGUUAUGCAUGAUAUGGGUAACGGUGUGUUACCCCUCUUAAGCC